rnacentral:lncRNA from 1 species
AAGGGUCCACGGACCCUUCCCGGGCUACAGCUCUUUCCUUUGUCUACCCUCAAAUUCUCCAUUACACGGAUGUUGGCUGGCCGCCCUGCCUUCAAACUAUGGAUGUGAGGAGGACGCGGGCGGCGGCAGCUGAACCCGCCUGACAGGCCGAGCCAGUGACAAAGAGCUGGCGGCCUAGGCUGAAACCGCGGAAACAAUCCUUCCUGGAGGAGAACACAGUCCCUUUAAAGAUAGGAAAGAUGCUACUCACGUUGUCGAUCACAACAGGCUGGUUGGCGAUCACAUCGUAGGACUCCAUGGCAGAGGAAUCUUUCCCUCCGAGGAAGGAACUGCCAGCCCGGUCCGCAGCAAACGCCACUGACACGCAUGCGCAGUCUAGUCGCCGGUACUGGGCAUCCAGGGAGCCGCCCGACCUCGCCUCGGAGGAACUACAAUCCCCAGCAUUCUUUGCCCCAGGGCUUGCGCUCCAAACCGGGUCCCAGCCCGAUCGGAUUUAGGAGAUUGGACAGUGUAUUUCCUACACAUGGUGGGGUCUGUAGUGUUUGUAGAUUAAAGAGCCACAGUGUUG